GACAUUGCUCACCUGCCUGGGCCUCAGCCCAUGACCAAGGAAACUUUUGCCCUCCCUCCCCAGGAGCUCACUUACAGGCCAUCUUCAAAGGUACUGCCUACCUGAACCUGCCUUGUCCCAAAGGACACACUUCAAUCUGGGGAGAGUUUAAAGUUGUAGACAUAUCCAUUUUCAUUUAAGGAAUAUGAAGAUCAGGGAGGCAAAAUAUAGAGAUAUAGAGAGGAAAAACUGAGAGAUGAUCAGAAAUUCAGACGCAUUCGGAAUGAGCACCCUUGACCAUACCAAGAACAAAGACUCUAUAAAAAUGUGAAGUCUUAUUAUUGUUCAUCCAUGUUCUACGUGGGAUCCACCCAAGACAUUGAAAACUGUACAGAACAGGGUGAAAUUGAAUCAGAUCAUUCUGUACUCCUAACAAGGUCCACCCCAUGAGAGACUUGCAGCAGAAUUAAUGACACUGUAUAUUUUCCUCUACUAACAACAACAAGAACAACAACAACAACAAUCUAGGAAAAUCAAAGGCAGCCCGACAUGGAAAAAAACACAAAAUGAAUAUUUGGAUUACAAAUAGUGUGAUGGGAAGAACACACUGCCAAAAGUCCACCUAGUAUGUUGAAAUUACUGUUUCUAGCACAUAUAAGAUUUGCUGCCAAUUUGUACUGACUUCUGAAAAAUACUUUAUCCAUUGUCUUCUUACAUCAGAAUCAACUCCCUAAAUUCUUCAGCACUGGCUUUGUAAACUGGUUUCUGGUCUUUGUUUCUGUCAACUUACCUAUAAAAGGAUACAAAAACUGAAGAACAGAGAGGAGCAGAUACCCUGGAAAGCCGAAAGUUUUAUUGACCAAAGACUGAGUCUCGGAAUGUUUUGAUUGUGGAGUUUAUAGAGUUCAGGCUGAAGUUUUAUAAAAAUAACUUGCAGCAGCAUGGAGGACUGAUGAGAAAGUAGACAGAUGCUGGAAGCAGGAAAACUGAACAGCAGGUCACUGGCCAAGGAGAAUCAAAGAGCUAGAUGCUGAGAAUAAUGCAGCCAUAACGUGAAAUCUUUUUGAGACCACUCACUCUGGGAGAAAGCAACUGGCUAUGUCAUGAGGAAAUUGAAACCACCUAUGGAGAAAGGCCCACAUGGUGAGAAAGUAAAGCCUCUUCCCAAUACCAAUUCUGGAGGUUAGAAGUCCAAGAUCAAGGUGCCAUCAGGAUUGAUUUCUUGUGAGGCCUUUCUUCCUGGCUUGCUGUGUCCUCAGAUGGCUCUUCAUCUGUGUAUGUGCAGAGAGAAAAAGAUUUCUCUGGUGGCCUUCUAAAAAAAAAUCAGUCUUCAGAGGAGUGGUACCCAAGCUCUCUCUCCUCCACAAUGACCUGCCCGCAAAAAUUAUCCAUCUCUUCACCUGGCCACUAAACUGUUUCCUUACUGCAAGUCAGCUCAAGUUUUUGAGAUGAUAGUCUGAGAGAUAAUCUACUGGGAUAGUGGGAAACAAAGAUACUUUUAAUCAAGGAGAUCUUCUUUACAAUUUUUGCUUACUGCAGGCUGCUGUUUGAUCUUUCCACUUUACAAAAGAGAAUGUUUUGAAAUCGCAAGCCUUCUGCCACAACUUUUAAAAUGUUAAAUGCUAGAUAUGCAUGCUUUCUUUCUACUUUACAAAUAACAAUGUUAGUAAUGAAAGUUAGUUGCCUUUUUGUAAUACCUACUUGAUACAGUUUGGAUGUUUUGUCCCCUCCAAAUCUCAUGUUGAAAUGUGACCACCAAUGUUAGAGAUGGGCCUAGUGGGAGGUGUUUGGGUCAUGGGGCAGGAUCUCUCAUGAAUGGCUUGGUUGUCUUCCUGAUAAUGAGUGAGUUCCACUAUGAGUUCAUGGGAGAUCUGGUUGUUUAAAAGAGCAUGGUACCUCCUCCCUCUCUCUCUUGCUCUCUCUGUUCCCAUGUGAUAUAUCGGCUCCCUCUUUACCUUUUGCCAUCACUGGAAGCUUCCUGAGGCCUCCACAGGAGCAGAUGCUGGUGCCAUGCUUGUACAGCCUAAUUUGUGAGCCAAAUAAACCUGCUUUCUUUAUAAAUUACCCAGCCUCAGAUGUUACUUUAUAGCAAUGCAAAUACGCUAACUUUAAUACCACAGUAGGCCAAAAACACAUUAUCUAAUUUAAUUCUGCUACAAAUCCUGCUAAAAUAGUAUUCUUAUUUUACUGAUGAGAAAAGUAAGAUUCAGGGAGAUGAAGUAACUACUUUAGCGUUACACAGUAACCAACUGGGAAAUUCAAGCCCAGGUCUUUUUGAAUCUUUAUUUUUUACUUUUAUUCAUUCUUUAAACUGUAAAAGAAGUACAAGUAUCUAAACUUAAAACAUGGAAAUUGUAAAAUAUUUUAGGAAAGAACCAUUUACGUAUUGUUUUGGAUGUAUUUUUCCAUAUAAAUUAUAGUGAGGCAAUAAAUAUGUGUAAUGUCCCUAAUCACUGAGAUACAGUUAUAUGGUAUUAUAUACAUACAUAUAAUGGUAUUACACACCAUUAUAUGGUAUUUUCUUUGCUUGAGUGGAUGUAGCACAAAUGAUAAUUUACUGUUAAAUUUAUGACUAGACAAUUUUGAUUGUAUGCUAAGUAAGCAUUUUUUGUGGUUUCUUUAAUGUACAUUUGACAUUGUCUACUAAGAUAAACUUCAGC
ensembl:lncRNA novel transcript, antisense to SLC38A11 and SCN3A